AUGCGGUGGGCCCCAGCCCUGCUUCUAGCUUUCCUGCCUCUUGCCAGUCAGAAAUCUUCCAACUUGCAAGGGAGAAGGAAGUCAGUCACCAGGCCAGCUGGGUCAUCUGCUGUAAUCACUUGUGAUCUUACUGUAAUAAAUACCUUCUACAUCCACUGGUACCUGCACCAGGCGGGGAAGGCCCCACAGCAUCUUCCAUACUAUGACCCCUACUACUCCAGGGUUGUGUUGGAAUCAAGAAUCAGUAGAGGAAAGUAUUUUACUUAUGCAAGCAUGAGGAGGAGCUGGAAAUUGAUACUGCAAAAUCUAAUUGAAAAUGAUUCUGGAUCUAUUACUGUGCCACCUGGGACAGG